AUUUCUACUCAGAUUUCUGUUAAAGUCUCUCUGUUCAUCUUAUUAUUUUCUUUCUAUGAUCAGUCUGAGGAGCUUUGGCUCUGGAUCAUCACUGAUCUGGAAAUUUCUUCUCCAGAGAUUUCCAGCAUCACCAUGGCAACAGAGAUGGAGGAUAAAUGAACUAAAAACUUGAAUCUGCCUGUAAAAACAUUGAUCAUUGUUCAUAGAGCAGCUCAGUGAGGUUUCUGUGUUUCUACAGAUCCAGCAGGAGGUCAGGAGGUCGUACAGUUUACUGUGGAACCAGAAGAAACCAAAGUCCUGCUGGAGACCCAAAGAGACGGGAAACGGUACCUUGUUGUCGACUGUGGAGAUUACAGUCACUUCACUGUUCAUGACGUCCUGAAAGGAGGAGCCCUGAAGACGCUGCAUGAGGCCCCUAAAAAUGAUCUGGGAGGACAAACUGUAGAGAGAAAAUUCAAAGAGUUCCUGAGAGAAAUAUUUUGUGAUGAAGUCUGGGAUGAAUAUGAGCAAAACUUCCCCAGUGAGGUUCAAAAAAUCAUGUACGAUUUUUCUCAUCUCAAACAUUUGGAUGAAGAUGUUCAGAUCCGUUGCCCGGGUAACCUGGUCAUGUUGGCUCAGAAACAGAAACAGAUUGAAACGUUCUUUGAUUCAGUGGAAGGAGCUUCCUGGGAUGAUGGAUCUAUCAGGAUCUCCAGAGAGAAACUGAGAUCUUUCUAUAAUAAGAGUCUGCAGGGAAUCACAGGGAAACUCAGAGAAAUAUUAGACAAAAAUCCCAACAUUGGGUUUAUUGUGUUAGUGGGAGGAUUGGCUGAGAGCCAGAUUCUACGUCAGCACAUCACUGAUCAGUUUGGACGUCAGUAUAAAGUCCUGUGUCCU